rnacentral:rRNA from 1 species
CGGGAGAAUUGCUAGCUUGCUAAUAAUUCUCUAGUGGCGCACGGGUGAGUAACACGUGAGUAACCUGCCCCCAAGAGUGGGAUAGCCCCGGGAAACUGGGAUUAAUACCGCAUAAAAUCGCAAGAUUAAAGCAGCAAUGCGCUUGGGGAUGGGCUCGCGUCCUAUUAGUUAGUUGGUGAGGUAACGGCUCACCAAGGCGAUGACGGGUAGCCGGUCUGAGAGGAUGUCCGGCCACACUGGAACUGAGACACGGUCCAGACACCUACGGGUGGCAGCAGUCGAGAAUCAUUCACAAUGGGGGAAACCCUGAUGGUGCGACGCCGCGUGGGGGAAUGAAGGUCUUCGGAUUGUAAACCCCUGUCAUGUGGGAGCAAAUUAAAAAGAUAGUACCACAAGAGGAAGAGACGGCUAACUCUGUGCCAGCAGCCGCGGUAAUACAGAGGUCUCAAGCGUUGUUCGGAAUCACUGGGCGUAAAGCGUGCGUAGGCGGUUUCGUAAGUCGUGUGUGAAAGGCGGGGGCUCAACCCCCGGACUGCACAUGAUACUGCGAGACUAGAGUAAUGGAGGGGGAACCGGAAUUCUCGGUGUAGCAGUGAAAUGCGUAGAUAUCGAGAGGAACACUCGUGGCGAAGGCGGGUUCCUGGACAUUAACUGACGCUGAGGCACGAAGGCCAGGGGAGCGAAAGGGAUUAGAUACCCCUGUAGUCCUGGCAGUA